GAAUGUGGCUCAGUGGCAGAACAUCUUGCUUGGCAUGCAGAAGGCACCUGGUUCAAUCCCCAGCAUCUCCA
rnacentral:tRNA from 1 species